GAUGAACGCUGGCGGCGUGCCUAAUACAUGCAAGUCGAGCGAAGCGGGGACGGGUGAGUAACACGUGGAUAACCUCCUAUAAGACUGGGAUAACUCCGGGAAACCGGAGCUAAACCGGAUAUGUAUAGAUGGAUCCGCGCUGCAUUAGCUAGUUGGUAAGGUAACGGCUUACCAAGGCAACGAUACAUAGCCGACCUGAGAGUGUGACGGCCCAAUGUGGACCGGAGCACGGGUCAGACCUCCUACGGGGGGCAGCAGUAGGGAAUCUUCCGCAAGGGGCGAAAUCCUACCGGAGCAACGCGGCGUGGGUGUUGAAGUUCUUCGGAUCGAAAGACUCUGUUAUUAGGGCAGCGGUACCUAAUCAGAAAGCCACGGCUAACUACGUGCCAGCAGCCGCGGUAAUUC
rnacentral:rRNA from 1 species